rnacentral:rRNA from 1 species
CCUACGGGAGGCAGCAGUAGGGAAUAUUGCUCAAUGGGGGAAACCCUGAAGCAGCAACGCCGCGUGGAGGAUGAAGGUUUUCGGAUUGUAAACUCUUUUUGUUAGAGAAGAUAAUGACGGUAUCUAACGAAUAAGCACCGGCUAACUCCGGGACAGCAGCCGCGGGAAUACGGAGGGUGCAAGCGUUACUCGGAAUAACUGGGCGUAAAGAGCGCGUAGGCGGGUUAGCAAGUCAGAUGUGAAAUCCUAUGGCUUAACCAUAGAAGUGCAGUUGAAACUGUUAUUAUAGAGUAUGGGAGAGGUAGGUGGAAUUCUUGGUGUAGGGGUAAAAUCCGUAGAGAUCAAGAGGAAUACUCAUUGCGAAGGCGACCUGCUAGAACAUAACUGACGCUGAUGCGCGAAAGCGUGGGGAGCAAACAGGAUUAGAUACCCCAGUAGUC